GUAGGUGAACCUGCGGAUGGAUCAUUACCGAACGUCGUGUCGCCAGUAGCGUCCUCGUAGCGACCCGCACUAUCGGGUCCGAUGCGAACGCGCACGCGCUCAAUCCACACACAAACUCACCCGAGUCGCGCGGGGUCUCCCAAACGCCUCCGUCCGGCUCCACUGCGGACGGUAGGACUCCCGGCUCGCCGCUUUCAGAUCACCUCGCUGCUGAUCGCGGGCUUAGGUACACUAAAGGAGAGGUGCCCAGUCGACCGGGCGGAGCAACGGCGCACGCGUGUUGUAGGUCGUUAAACACUCGGCUCGUCUGCAUUGUGGGGUUCUCGGAAACUUGCACGGGAGUGCGCUGCCGAACGCCCGCUGCUCUAUACCAAACGUUGCAAUCACUCGCUCGACGCGGUCGGCCACGGGCCCGGCUGAAUGCCGAAGGAGAGUGCUGCGACGGGGCGGUGGAGUUCGGCGGUCCGCGAACCCGAGAUUAAAUGUGGCGCCUCGGUGCAGGAAAUGGCCAAGUAACUCGCGGGACAAGGCAUGGGCUCCCUUGUGAACGGCCAUCUUCCGAAGCGGUUGCAACCUCGACCAACACUUUCGCAUAUAAUAAGGUUCUACUGUAACGGUAACGAAUAUUCAGUCCAUGGAUAAGCCCGCAACGGGCCGAAAACUGGCGCGAACGCGUUCACCGGUGUUGCGCCGGUGGCCGGCAACUCGUUCAAAUCGCAUCUGCGAGUGCCGAGAGGCACGCGUGGUGUGUAAGCACAGCUCUAUGCGGUGGAUCACUCGGUCGUGCGUCGAUGAAGAGCGCAGCCAGCUGCGUGAAUUAAUGUGAAUUGCAGGACACACUGAACAUCGACAUCUUGAACGCAUAUUGCGGCUCCGGCUCUCUGCCGGAGCCUCGCCUGUCCGAGGGUAGGCGACCAUGUAAUCGUGACAAUGUGCCGCCGCUUCACCGCGGUAGCACGUCGCGCUUUGGCGCUGUCGAGCGAGCCAGUCUCGCCCGUCCGCCUUGAGAUUUCGACCGCUCCGCGUCUCCGCUUCGGCAGUGGCGCCUGGACCGGGCUCGAUCGGGCUCUCGUCCGGCGCACGUCUGGUCGCAGUUAGCUCUGUGACCGAGACGAGCUGUCCAACAGGAAGCGCAAUACGUAGCGGGCAAACGCAAGUUUGCACAAGUCGUAUGCCCGCCUAGCGAGCAGUACGCACAGCACAUCCUACCUCGGAUCAGACGAGACUACCCGCUGAAUUUAAGCAUAUCAGUAAGCGGAGGAAAAGAAACUAACAAGGAUUCCCCCAGUAACGGCGAGUGAAGCGG
rnacentral:rRNA from 1 species